rnacentral:lncRNA from 1 species
GACUCUAAAAGCUCCCAAGCUUUAAGAUUUGAGAACCCCGUGCAGAGGCAGUGGAGGCUGAGGAGGUCGCCAUCCACAACCGACAACGACAACGCGACGCCGCUGCCGCCUCAAGAGCCACCGCUGCCUAUCCGUACUCACGCCACCGUUCCUCCUGUGCCGAAAGGUCUUGGCUAA